GUGAAUCAUCAAAUUUUUGAACGCAAAUUGCACUCCUCGGUUUUCCGGGAGAGUAUGCUUGUUUGAGGGUCAGCUUAAAAAAAAUCGACAUUGUUGCUGUUUUAUGGUGACUUUCGUGGGAGAUGGGUUAUCUUAAAUCUCGGUGUAAGCGACUUAAAAAUUUUUUUUAAGAUUCUAGGAAUGUUUCUAAGAUUUUUCUUGUAUGUUUAAGGUUUAUAAUGUCUUAUUAGACGUGGCCGGAAUAUCGGAUGGUGUUAAUAAUUUUUUUCGGUAAA
rnacentral:misc_RNA from 1 species